AUUCUCAAGUGAGCCACAGGAAGAGUCCUGUUUUGAGGGCAAGGCUUUUCUUGAAAACUACACUCUCUAUGCAGCUCAUUCCUGAAGAAGGGCUUUGGCAUGUGGAGAUUAUGCCCUCUUGCUAGGGUACUGGAAGGGAUCCAUGUGGUAUUGUCCCAGCAAUAACUCUGCCACAGAGAUAUGCGAUCUCCAGCAGCUGUCGGCAGGCUUCACUCCCAUUCCAUCCUCCUUCCUGCAUCCAGUAGUCUCCCAGCCCCGCCUCACCCUCCCACUGCUCCAGAAGAAUGACAGAACUCAGAGCUGCAAGAGAAAGAAGACUGAAUUCAGUCUCUCUUGCAGAAAAAUUGUUUUCCGUCAAGUUGAUAAUAAUGAUCACACUGAGAAUGAAUGACUCAAGAUGAAUAUCCAAAGAUAUAUCAAAACCUGGUCAGCAGUCGUGGGGAAAGGAAGAAAGCCUGAGUUGAGUUUAUGAAAGUUUUCCACUAAAGUCAGCAACAGCUUAAAUUCAAACCAGGCACAAGACGCUUGAAUCUCCAUAUGAGUUGUUCAUCAAAGGGCUGAAAGAAAAGAAAUCUGAGCCCGAGCACGGUCUGGCCUAAAAGCUUUCAAGUGACUCCUUUCUGUUGCAAAUGAAAGAAGUCCUGCUACUCUAAAGAAUAACUAAACCAGACUGGAGUCACUGAAACUGAUGGAAGAACAUCUCAGGCAUGAGUGCCAUGGUGACGUCAUCAGCUCCGUUCACAACCACUCACCAUGAGGCCAUUGCUCCUGUGGAGGACACUGGCUUAGGACUCAUGAAGUAGUACCUCAGGAAGGUGUCUCUGUAAGUGUUCCUUCCACCAGCUCCAAGACACAAUGAGAUGGAGAGAACUGGAACAAUUCCCUAUGAUUGCAGCUGGAUAUUUUCACAUGAACUAUCUAGUAAUGAAGGCAAUGGCAUGUGGUGUGGCAAAGACUGGCCCCAGAUUACAUUUCCAGUCCUUUUGUACUGAGGAGGGGCUUUGGGACCAAGACAGUAGGAGUGAGGGUACAGGUUCCACAUUCUAUUUCUCUCUUAGUUUUCUGUGGUUAUCUUGGUGACUGCAUGGUAAAGAUGGAGGUGACAAAAGAUGGAAGGAGCCUGGAUCCCUGAAUGACUUCAUGGUGCAGAGCCUUACACUACCCCCAACUCAUACUAAAACAGGGGUGGGAGGAACAAUAGACCAUUAUUCUGUUAAGGUGCUGAAAUUGUAGAGCUGUUAAUUUGAACAGUUAGAGUUUCUUAUACUGAUACAGUAUCCUUACCCUGGAUUGUUGAAAUAAUUAGUCCAAAUAGUUUCUUUGCCUAAAACUGUGGACAGAGCCUAAGCAAUAUUGAAUCCAAGACAAGGUAUAUUUAUCAUCAAAUGCUACUCACUAUACAAUACAGAUGAAUGUGGCACUUACUUCCCGUGUUGUUACCCAGCCUGCUUCUAGUAUUCUUUACACAAAAUAACAUUCAUGAGCAACCUGGGCACA